UCAUUGGAGAGUUUGAUCCUGGCUCAGGACGAACGCUGGCGGCGUGCCUAACACAUGCAAGUCGAACGGGACCGGGGGCAACUCCGGUUCAGUGGCGGACGGGUGCGUAACACGUGAGGAACAUGACUUUCGGCGGGGGAUAGCCGGCCCAACGGCCGGGUAAUACCGCGUACGACCGCAUGGGGACAUCCCCGAGCGGUGAAAGCAGCAAUGCACCGAAAGAGUGCCUCGCGGCCUAUCAGCUAGUUGGUGAGGUAACGGCUCACCAAGGCGACGACGGGUAGCUGGUCUGAGAGGAUGGCCAGCCACAUUGGGACUGAGACACGGCCCAGACUCCUACGGGAGGCA
rnacentral:rRNA from 1 species